AUUGAACGCUGGCGGCAGGCUUAACACAUGCAAGUCGAACGAGUGGCGGACGGGUGAGUAAUGCUUGGGAAUCUAGCUUAUGGAGGGGGAUAACUACGGGAAACGGUGGCUAAUACCGCAUACUAUCGGAUGAACCCAUAAGGGAUGAGCUAGUAGGUGGGGUAAAGGCUCACCUAGGCGACGACCUCUAGCGGGUCUGAGAGGAGGAUCAGCCCCACUGGGACUGAGACACGGCCAGGACUCCUACGGGAGGCAGACGUGGGGAAUAUUGCACAAGGGGCGCAGUCCUGAUGCAGCCAUGCCGCGUGUAGGAAGAUGGCCUUAGGGUUGUAAGGUACUUUCAGCGGGGAGGCGUUACCCGCAGAAGAAGCACCGGCUAACUCCGUGCCAGCAGCCGCGGUAAUAC
rnacentral:rRNA from 1 species